GUGCUCGCUUUGGCAGCACAUAUACUAAAAUUAGAAUGAUACAGAGAAGAUUAGCAUGGCCCGUGCACAAAAAUGAUAUGCAAAUUUAUGUAGCAUUUCAUGUUUUU
ensembl:snRNA Gm25740 predicted gene, 25740